UGGGGAAUAUUGCACAAUGGGCGCAAGCCUGAUGCAGCGACGCCGCGUGGGGGAUGACGGCCUUCGGGUUGUAAACUCCUUUCGCUAGGGACGAAGCUUUUUGUGACGGUACCUAGAUAAGAAGCACCGGCUAACUACGUGCCAGCAGCCGCGGUAAUACGUAGGGUGCGAGCGUUGUCCGGAAUUACUGGGCGUAAAGGGCUCGUAGGUGGUUUGUCGCGUCGUCAGUGAAAUUCCGGGGCUUAACUCCGGGCGUGCAGGCGAUACGGGCAUAACUUGAGUACUGUAGGGGUAACUGGAAUUCGUGGUGUAGCGGGGAAAUGGGAAGAUAUCAGGAGGAACACCGAUGGCGAAGGCAGGUUACUGGGCAGUUACUGACGCUGAGGAGCGAAAGCAUGGGUAGCGAACAGG
rnacentral:rRNA from 1 species